GUAACAACGAGAACAUUUUAAGUUUUGUAGGCCGUCAGACUUGUUUCCCAUCUUAUUGUUACGUUGCUGCUUUUUUCUUCAUAACUCCUAUGUUUGUAUCCGCCCAGUCAACAAUUCGACUGGGCUUUUUUUC
rnacentral:antisense_RNA from 1 species